GCAAGUCGAGCGGACAGAUGGGAGCUUGCUCCCUGAUGUUAGCGGCGGACGGGUGAGUAACACGUGGGUAACCUGCCUGUAAGACUGGGAUAACUCCGGGAAACCGGGGCUAAUACCGGAUGGUUGUUUGAACCGCAUGGUUCAGACAUAAAAGGUGGCUUCGGCUACCACUUACAGAUGGACCCGCGGCGCAUUAGCUAGUUGGUGAGGUAACGGCUCACCAAGGCAACGAUGCGUAGCCGACCUGAGAGGGUGAUCGGCCACACUGGGACUGAGACACGGCCCAGACUCCUACGGGAGGCAGCAGUAGGGAAUCUUCCGCAAUGGACGAAAGUCUGACGGAGCAACGCCGCGUGAGUGAUGAAGGUUUUCGGAUCGUAAAGCUCUGUUGUUAGGGAAGAACAAGUGCCGUUCAAAUAGGGCGGCACCUUGACGGUACCUAACCAGAAAGCCACGGCUAACUACGUGCCAGCAGCCGCGGU
rnacentral:rRNA from 1 species